rnacentral:lncRNA from 1 species
UAAAAAGAAGAGGAAGAAGGGGAGUGAUAGGAUCAGGUUUGUAUACCAAAAAGAUCACUCCUGGUUUGGUGCAGAAUAAGAUUGGAGGGAAGCAAGAAUUUGGGUGAGAGAAUAUGAAGGAGGUGAUUAUUGGUGUUCAGGCAAGAGAUGACAGCGGCUUGGAUGGUGAUGAUGAGGUGGUGAUGAAGACUGGCUGAUCACAGAGCCUGCUUAAUCUUUGCAUUUACACUUAUUCACAAUUUAGGUUAAACAUCAAGUCUAUAUCAGUGAUGUUGUCCAUAUGCUGGGUGUGAGUUUUGUUCCUUUGCCAAGAAGUAGAAUAUUAUUUUGUAUAUACGUGAAGUUAAUUUUAGUUCCAAGCUCCCAUUCUUCUGGAAGCUGGAAAUCUGAUUUCAGGCCAUUUGGGGGUCUUUCCACCUCCUUGAUAUUGAUCUGAAUUUGAGGAGGAAGGUAUGCUGAGAUCUUAUACAAGGUGGGUGAACGGUCUGGUCUCCUUGUUCAUGUUCUGCUGUGGAGUCUACUGAUGUUUUUAUGGUCCCAUCACCCAGGCUUCUGCUGCACCCUCUUUGCUCCGUCUUGAAAUUUUCUCAGGUCUCCUCUUCCCUACACCAUGUCUAAUCUGUUCUCCAAGGGUACAGAAAAUAUUCUGCUUCUUCCAAAACAAUCUGGCUGUGGACAACACUCUUUGAGGCCUGCUAUAUUAAUAUUCCACGUCUCUCUCUUCUGCUCUAGAACCACACAUGGUGUGCAGGACCAACAGUUUCUUGUUGGAUCUUGGGAGACAGAUUCAACAGAUCUCUAGUAGGAAAAAAAAUGAUUAUAUUUGAUAUUCAUAUACAUCAAGGGUGAGGCUAUAGGAAUGACUCAGAUUUUUUUUUUUUUUUGCAUGAGAAACUGGGUAGUGCCUUUUUAAUGAGACAGAAUGUUGGAAGAGAAGCAGGUGUGGGGCAGUGGGCUGGAAUCAUGGGGUCACUUUAGUACAUGAGGUGUUUGUAAUAUUCAAGAAGAGAUAUUGAGGACGGGGUUGGUAAUGGGGAGUCUGAAGCGUGGGAAAAGUCCAGGAUGAAGAAAACACACAUACACAUUGAGUUUCUUUCAUUGUAAAAUAGAUGGGAGUGGAAGCCAUGGCACAGCGUGAGAUCCCCCGGAAAAAGAGAGAGUGCACCAAAGUCUCAAGAAGAGAGUGUCUCAAGAAGGUGGGAGUGGCUAACAGCAUUAAAUGCCACCACCAAGAGGUCAGGUAAGAGGAAAACUGGAAAGUAUCCUUUGGAUGUAAAAGUUAUUAGUGUUCAGGGCACCUGGGUGGCUCGGUUGGUUGAGCAUCUGACUCUUGAUUUCGGCUCAGGUCUUGAGCCCAGGGUCAUGGGAUCAAGCCCUGUGUCAGGCUCUGUGCUGAGCGUGGAGCCCGCUUGAGAUUCUCUCUCUUGGGGGAACGCCUGGGUGGCUCAGUCGGUUAAGCAGCCAACUCUUGGUUUUGGCUCAAGUCGUGAUCUCACAGAGCCUGCUUGGGAUUCUCUCUCUCUCCCUCUCUCUGCCCCCUUCUCUCUCUCUCUUUCUCAAAAUAAAUAAAUAAGCAUUAAAAAAAAAAAAAAGAUUCUCUCUCUUGGGGCACCUGGGUGGCACAGGGUCAAGUAUCUGACUUCAGUUCAGGUCAUGAUCUCAUGGUUCGUUCAAGUCCCGCAUUGGUUUCUGUGCCAACAAUGCAGAGCCUGCUUGGGAUUCUCUCUCUCCCCCUCCCUCUGCUCCUCCCCUGCUCAUUCUCUCUCUCUCUCUCUCUCUCUCUCUCUCUCUCUCUCUCUCUCUCAAAAUACAUAAAUACACUUUAUAUAAGAAAGGAUUCUCUCUCUCCCUCUCCCCCUCUCCCCCACUAGUACGUGCUCUCUCUCUCUCUCUAAAAAAAAAAAGUUAUUGUGUUCCCAUUAAAAACAAUUCCAGGGUACAGAAAAGGCAAAAGCCAAACUGGUGUGAAGAGAUUACAGUGAACACCUGACGUAGUCACUAGAUGCUUCAGAGGAGUCACGCUUUUGCAGGAGGACUAAAUUAGCCCUGUAGGGAAGGCUGCCCCAAACCCACUCCAAAAAAGCUUCAAAAUGUCCAGCCGAUGCACAAACAGAUUAACGGCCCGCUAGAAUAAAAUCUAAUACGCUUGAACUAAGACAAACUCCAGUGCUCAAUAACAAACAUUCACAAUUUCUAGAAUUCAAUAAAAAACCACUAUAUAGGAGCAGCAGAAAAUUGGGACCGAUAAUCAGGAAGAAGAAAAAAAAAUCAAUCAAUGCCAACAAACCCAGAACGGAAGAGACAACAGAACUGGCAGAUUAGCAGACAAGGACUUCAAAAGUUAUUAUAAAUAUGCCCAUGAGUCCAAAGGAAAACAUACACGUAAUGAGAAGUGGAAGAUAUAAAAAAUGAACAUAUAAACAGUCAUAUCAGGAUUUCUUUUUCAGAAAACUUCCCCACCCCCCCAAGCUGUAACUAUCCCUGUAACCCCUUUCUAUAAAAGAUGUUGUUUCAUGUAAAUUUCUACUUUCGUUUCCGGUAUGGAAGAAUUUUAGAACUGUCUUGGGGAACAUACCGUAUAUAAUGAAGGAAGUUUAAAGUGACCUUGCAGGUGCUGCGGAAGCCGGCAGACGGGCAUGACUGUGACAGAGCUCCAGCGCACUUUUGCGCAGAGUUGACGUUGUUUGUGGAAAGUGUAGGACUUCCUGGUCCCUGAACACAGAGCGGGUGGCUAAGGCAGAAAGGACCACCAGGUUGCAUGCAUCUCAGGUGUACUUGCCUCAUGGCCCAUCUGAACCUGAGAUCUAACAGUUCUGAGCCUAUUACCGCAGAGCUCUUGGUAAUUGCUGGCCGUGUUAUCUUUUUUCCUUGUUUGUUUUCCCUCCUUUUAGCCAUCCUUUGGGAGCUUUAAGGGCAUUUUUUUUUUUUAAGGUAUACCCUUAACAUUAAAAGAGAGAUUAACGGAAAGGAAAGCAUCAAUGUUCAAGAGCUCAUUUGAAAUACUUGUGAGUCUUUAUUGUGGUUAUGCUGAUUCUAGGUCAAAUCAGGCAAUUUAGGGGAAAGGGAGAAGGGCUGAAUCUUCUCUCCUAGCUCUGCAUCCCCGUCAAGGAGAUGUGGGCCUCUCAGGAAGAUAUUCAUCCCGGGGCAUGUGGGUGGCUCAGUCAGUGAAGUGUCCGACUCUUGGUUUCGGCCCAGGUGGUCAUCUCAUGGUUCAUGGCAUUGAGCCCUGCACUGGGCUCUGUGCUGACAGCGUGGAGCCUGCUUGGGAUUCUCUCUCUCCCUCUCUCUCUGCCCCUCCCCUGCUGUCUCUCUCUGUGUCAAAAAUAAGUAAACUUUAAAAAAAAAGAUACUCAUCCCAUAAACAUUGCCAUCAAAGCUGAAAUUUCAAAUGUUUAAUUUUCAAUCUCUCAUGUCGUCAGCCUUUUCAAGUCUGUUCUAUGGUAGAGAAUGGAUGGGGCCCACAUUACUUUGGUUCAUAGAUCGCUCAGUUCCUAAAACGCGAGUAUCAGAGCUUCAACUUUAAAAUUCUAACUGGUUGGCCAUAUUUUUAUUUCAAAUCUUUAACUGAAAACUCAUUUAUUUCUGUACUGCCCCAUGCCAGUAAGGGAAUUAGAGAUCGUGUUUUUAGCUAUUCCCUGGAUGAGGGAAAAUAGAAACGGGGGGCUCAGUUGAGUGCACCAAGCUGUCACGCUUCUAUCUGGUGCCAGCUGGUCACCUGUUGGCAGGGCCAGAAGAGAGCCCUGGGACUAAAUUCAUCCUGGCCUUCUACAUCCAGCUUCAAAUAGAACAUCUCCAUCAGAAUGCCUCCUCCCUCUGCCAGCCACUCCACUGAAGAGGAAACCUCUCUGCUUAAGUGAUGUCUAGUUAUCAGCUUGUAUUUUCAUAUCCCACAAAUUAAAAACUAAAUUAACUUUGAGGAAAUAUCUUUCCAUUACGUGUUGUUCGAAGAGAUACCCAUCUCCUUGCAACAGAGCACGUUUUUAUCUCACAAACAUGCAGCAGGAAAAAACAGGGAUAAAAAUAAAAAAUAAGGGGCGCCUGGGUGGCUCAGUCGGUUAAGCAUUUAACUCUUGGUUUCAGCUCAGGUCAUGAUCUCAGUUUGUGGGAUUGAGUCUUCGUCGGAAGCUUGCUUGGGAUUCUCUCUCCCUCUCCCUUCCUCUCUCUGCCCUUCCCCCACUCUCUCACAUGCACACACUCUCUCUCAAAAUAAAUAUAAACUAAAAAAAUAAAAACAUAAACUCAAAACAACUCAGGUAUCUUUAUGCAGGUAUCUCUCUUAUCAUUUGUAUCGGUUUAUUUUAUGCCAUAGACAUUUUGCUUCUAAAAUCCUGCCUUCUUUCACUUAUAUUAUUUCUUCAUUUUACCCCCAUGGACAGGUCUGAGAGGAAGACAGAAGGAGAGGAAAGCUGGUCACCAGGACACUGUAAUGAUAAUGACACAUCAGUAGGGACAUAGGCAUUUAACAGACCAGGCUGAGAAUACACCAUUAACAACCCAGACAGAAGUCAUCAUCUUCCGUCAUCAACUGAAAUUAAAAAGUGCCUCCAAGGGGCACCUGGGUGGCUCAGUCGAUUGUGUCCGACACUUGGUUUCAGCUCAGGUCACAAUCUCACGGUUCGUGAGAUCCAGCCCCGAGUUGGGCUCUGCACUGAUAGCACCGUGCCUGCUUGGGUUCCCUCUCUCCCUUUCUCUCUCUGUCCUUUCCAGCUCUUACACGCGUG